UGCAACUAACAACAACAACCCCGAGCAGCCGAAGUGAAGGAAGAAAGUUUUUAAUAAUUGAUAACGAAAAUGCCGUUUGAACGAGUCGCCGGCAGCUACUUUGCCACUGCGCCUUGUUGAGUUCGUGUUGCUAGUUCAGCCGUUCUGCCGUUCUGCCUUUCAAUCGUUCAGCUUAAUAGUCUGAUACUUCGUUGAAACAAAUAUCCAUCUUAGGUGGCUGCAAGGGGAGUGCUGAAUCUGUUCGCUUCAGUGUUGUGAUUCCACCAAGUCUGCUCCCACUCGUCACAUCAAUAACCCUGACAACUUCGCCAUAUGGGUUCUGCAAAGACUAUCGAACCAUUCUGGAGCUGGAUCGUGUAGUCUGGAUCAUGUUCAAAAAGAGAUGGCAACACUUCGGAACUGCUUCAGGCUUCUUCGUCUCCAACGGCUUUGCUUGGGCUGCUUUCACAGUGACAUUUUCCCCGCAUAAUGUGUUUCCGUGUAGUCCAUAUCUAAAUAUUCAAACCAACCAUUUGGCUAAGCUUUUGUUUGAAUGUAAGUGUUAGUGGCAUUUGAUUACAGUGAUCACAACUAUUUACUUGAGAUAUAAGAGAGCAAAGUACAAAAUGUAUUGGAUUAUAUCAGUGUAUCGAGGGGUUUCAUAUUGUUCUGAUGUGGCCAGAGAUAGUCAUAAAGAUGGUUUCUUAACAUUGGCUGGGUGAGUGCCCAUGUCACAUUGUCAAUUUUUUUGUCUCUCUGUCUUAUCUUGCUGCCCAGGACCUCCUGACUCUGUUGAACUUGGGGCAGAUAAAGAUUUAGUAAUAACCUCUUUUGUUUUAAUUAUUCAAGGGGAGUUGACAAUUUUUCCUGGCAAAGACACUCAAUUUCAGAUAAAAUUGUUUAUUCUGAACUAUGGUUUAUUUGUUUAGCAACUGUAGUCUUCAUUUAGUUCAAAGCUCCUUGCUUGGUAUUUUUUUUAAAAAUCAGAUGACAAGACUAUUAAUGGGAAGCUUGAAUUUCAUACCGGUAAUGCAACCGUUUUUAAGAUUUUUUUUGUGAAAGUUUGCCCUCAGAGUUUGAGCGACAGUAGUAACUUCACAGGAAUAAGCAUGGGUUCAUUUGGUUUGUUUCCAGGUGGGCUACAUUCUGACUCAGGAUUAUUUUGAAAUGUUUGUAAGAUAGCAUUUUUAGAACAGACUUUGUCAGUUUUGUAUCUGACUUUUGGAUAUAUUUAGUAUUUUAUGUGCAUGUUAAAUUACAGUGACAAUUCAUCUUAUCAUUCGCCUUUGGCUUUCACUAUGCUAAAUUAUAAAUUCGGUCUUAAGCUUCUGUAUUUAAAUUGGCAGCUCACCACAGUGAUAUUCAAAUGCAAUCUCAGGUGACAUUCAAGCAGUCCCGCCUUCUAAUGUCAAUCAGCAGCAGCCUUGACAAUCUUGACAUUUUUCCAUCAUCGCUUAAAUGCUAAGGCUAUUCGCACUGUUCUUUAUGCCUUUUUAUUUGUUGGGCUGGUUGUAACUUUUAUAUGGGAGACAGUCCUCAUGUAUCACUUCUGUUAUAUUUCUGUUCAUUUCAUUAGCCGCAGUGUGUUAAAAUGAGUGCAAUUUAUUUACCAUGUUGGGAUCUGUUCAUAGUACUGGUCUCUGCAGUGCGAAAGGCCCAAUACAGCUUCAAA